CCUACGGGUGGCAGCAGUGGGGAAUAUUUGGCAAUGGGCGCAAGCCUGACCCAGCAACGCCGCGUGAAGGAAGAAGGCCCUCGGGUUGUAAACUUCUUUUAACAGGGACGAAGAAAGUGACGGUACCUGUUGAAUAAGCCACGGCUAACUACGUGCCAGCAGCCGCGGUAAUACGUAGGUGGCAAGCGUUAUCCGGAUUUACUGGGUGUAAAGGGAGCGUAGGCGGUAAGGCAAGUCUGAUGUGAAAGGCCAGGGCUCAACCCUGGGACUGCAUUGGAAACUGUUUAACUGGAGUGUCGGAGAGGCAAGUGGAAUUCCUAGUGUAGCGGUGAAAUGCGUAGAUAUUAGGAGGAACACCAGUGGCGAAGGCGGCUUGCUGGACGAUGACUGACGCUGAGGCUCGAAAGCGUGGGGAGCAAACAGGAUUAGAUACCCGAGUAGUC
rnacentral:rRNA from 1 species